CAUGCAGGUCGAACGAACUCUGGUAUUGAUUGGUGCUCUGCAUCAUGAUUUACAUUUGAGUGAGUGAGCGAACUGGAAGAGUAACACGUGGGAAACCUGCCCAGAAGCGGGGGAUAACACCUGGAAACAGAUGCUAAUACCGCAUAACAACUUGGACCGCAUGGUCCGAGUUUGAAAGAUGGCUUCGGCUAUCACUUUUGGAUGGUCCCGCGGCGUAUUAGCUAGAUGGUGGGGUAACGGCUCACCAUGGCAAUGAUACGUAGCCGACCUGANAG
rnacentral:rRNA from 1 species